UUGCUCACACCACUACUAGAAUUUGACAAGGGGAAAUACUGGCCAAAUAUUGCUCAUAUUCCCAUCAUACAGGUCGAUUGGAAAUACAUGUGAUGAUUAAAACAAAUGGUGCUCCCACUGAUGUAAGUUAUUCUUUUCCCUCAGAAACUUGUUAUUUUUGUUUUCUUCACUUUUCUUUUUUGCUAAUUUUUUUCCUUUUCUUUUUUUAUAUCCUGUUGAGCAGUGUGGAAUGUCUUUUGCUCAAUCCACACCGAAAAUUGCUCAUACUUCCACCAUAAAUGUUGAUUUGGAGAACCUGUAAUGAUUAUCACGAGUGGUGCUCCGAUAGAUAGAUGUAAGUUAUUCUAUUUCCUUAGUAGCUUUCCAUUUUUGGUUAAAUUCUUUUUCUUUGUUACAUCUUUUUUGACCAGUGUGUAGCAUCUAUUGCUUCCGUGAAGUCGAGGAAAUAGCUAUAGAUCAGGAUAAACUCUUUUAUAUUUGCAUUGAGACAUUGUAAAAGAAAAUCAUAUAUCAUAUCAUAUUAUAAGUGGGAAGCCUCUAUGUCAAAAGUUGAAUUACAAAAUGUCCUUGUAAUAUCAUAAUAUUUAUGGACAAAAAUGUAAAUAUAUAUUAAAUAUAAAUAAAAACUAUUGUAUUCUAUUAAACACUAUUAUUACAUAUUUAUGAACAAAAAUAUAAAUACACAUUAAUUAUAAUAAAUAUCAUAAAAUAUUUAUAAUAAUAAUAUUAUAUUCUAAAAAUGGAGAACUCACAAUCUUUGGCAUGAAUUAAUAUAGAUACAAUGAAUAUUUGUACAAUUGGAUGAUAUCCUAUUAAAUGACAAAAGAAAAUCAAAAGUUUAGGAACAAUUAAAAUGACCCUUAAGUGUACCUCAAUUACUCCUACCGUGCAAAGGUAUAAAAAUUUUCAGAUGAAUUAUAUUCAAAAAAUUAUAUUAAAUGCUAAGUAAUUGCUUCAAUAAAUACUUACUAUGAAAACUUGCAAUCGUUGAACUUUUGAUUUUCUUCUAUUAUAAUUAGCACAAACUAAUGAUGAAUAAUAUACUUGGUAAAUUAGUUAAAUUUAUCUUAUAUAAAUGGACAUUUAGCAUAUGCAUAAACUUUCACUAUUGGAUAUAUAUAUAUAAUUCUAUACUUAUUAAGCUCCCAAGUUAAAAGUUGAAUUACAAAAAUACCCUUCAACUAAAAAAAGAGAUUUUUUAAUAAAUGGUUGUAAUAUAAUUCUAUACUUAUUACGCUUUAAUUGUUUUAUAUAAUAAAAUAAUAAAUGGAAAAUGAAAAAAACCAAAGAGACGAUGAUCAGAUAAUAAUUUUUGAUACUUUAAAACUUUUGGUUUUUUUAUGUUAGAGAAAAGAACCCUUUCCUUUCUUCAUUUACAUUUUUAAAAAAAAUAGACCAAUAACUCUCUAAAUUAUCUAAUCUUUCCUCUUCCCCAAUUUAUUACUCAAUUAAAUCUUAAGUUAUAUAUAUUGAAUGAAAGAUGAAAGAACUUCCUGAAUAUACCGUUUCAUAUUCCUUUUUUGUGCACUUAUAUAAUUUAUAUAAAUGCAUAUUAUCAUAUAAGAUAAUAGGGUUGCUUCACUUCAGUUGCAACAUAAUAUUAUGAUAUAUUCUUUUGCCUCAUUUUCUUUUCAUUGCUUUAAUUUAUUUUUUUCUGUUUCAUGUCUGAUGUAGUGUAUUUCUUUGCUUAUAACAGGUCAUUUAGGUGAAUACUUUUUCUUCCAUAUUAUUCUUAUUUGUAAAAUAUAAGGUAUGUGCGUUUAUAUUCUCAUUCAUUCCUAUUUUUUUAAUAAUGUAGAUGCAUUCUUGGUGAAUUAUUUUGUUUUACUGUUUAUGGGGUUUCAUAAUUGGAGUGGUAGUUCCUUCAAAGAAAUAUUAGUAAAAGACAUUCCAAAAUAUCGUGAAAAAGACAUAUUUAGAGUUGAUUUAUAUUGUAAGCACAUUUGAAUGUUGCAUAUGAUUGUUGUAGUCCUCCUUUCUCAUUUUUUUAUUUCCAUUUCACUCUUAAAAAGAUAACAAUGAUUUUUUUUCCUAAUGUAAUCACUAUUCCUUUGCCUUCUUUUAAAAGUGAUAGUCAAUUCAUGAUUUUAUAAAAAUAACUACAAAUAGUUAAUUUACUUUGUAGUUUUAGUGAUAAUGUUUGGUUAUUUUUUAGAGUGUGCAAUUUAUUUUUACCAUUAUAAAUAAAUUACAUACGCUUUAAAUUUAUUGUAAUACAAUGUAAAUUACCUUGGUUAUUAUUAAUUAUUUUUAUUUUCCAUCUUCCUAUGUAUUAAUUUUUCUCAUAAUCUAUUUAUCUUCCUUUGCCUCAAAACAUUGUUAUCAUAUAUAUAUGUUAUUAUUUUGUUUCUUUUGUUUACUACUCUUCACCAUGCUACUAUAUCUUAUGUGUCAAUUUAGUUAUCAAAUUUUUUUUCCAGGUAAAAUAUUAAUGACCCAUGAAAUUUAUUCUUGAAAAGCUCGGUGUUUUCUUGAUCUAUUUCCAAAGUUAUUAUAUAGAUCUUAAGAGUAUUGAAUACUUAUCUGUUAGAUUGAAGCAAAUUACUCUGAAUUUUAUUACAUCUACAUCUUUAUCUAUUAAACUUAAAUUUGACCUUUCUAUAGCAAUCAGUUGAUUAGUGCUUUGUUAAUAGUAACUCUCUGAUGGGAUGUAAUUUAAGCAUUUUCCCUUGAUUUUGUGGCAGAGCAACACUAUUAUAUUAUAUAUAGAUAUAGCACAUUUGCAUCAUAAGAGCACCUAGACUAUUCUACAAAAUGAACUUGUAAUUUUCUAAAAGUGGGAACAAUCUAAGUCAAAAGUUGAAUUACGAAGAUACUUUUUGACUAUUAAUUUAUUUUCUUAAGAUCAUUUAAAAAAAAUAUUUUUCCAUUUAAAAUCAACUUCAUAACUACACCUCUUCAUUUUCCUAACUUAUCAUCUUAUGAUCAUAAAUAAACAAUAAAUAAUAAAUAAUAAGAAUAAAAAUAAAAAUUUAUUAAAAGUAGAAAACUCAAAAAUUUAAAGUUGGAUUACCAUUUUACUCUUAUACUAAAUAAAAAAGUUAUAAAAUAUUUUAAUAAUUAAAUAUUAAAUAAUAAUCAUAAAUUAAUUUGUCAUUUUUCCUUCACAUAAAAAAGGGAAAUAAAACUUUUAUUAAAUUAGUAAAUAUAGUAAGUAUAUAUAUAAGUACGACCACAAUAUUUUAAAAACUGAAUUAUCAAAAUGUCCAUAAAAUGUUGAAUGACAUCAAUAUCCUUCAAUCAAAUAUUAUUCCUAUAAUAAUAUUGUACAUGGAUUUAAAUAUAUACUUAGUUCAAUGCAUUAGGCUAUUGAAUAUAUAUACACGAAAAAACCCAUUAAUGUUUUGUCAUUUAUUUAACUCUUAUUUAUGUUUUUUUCUUUCUUGAAGGUAAGUCUAUCUUCUAAUAAAUAAAAAUAAAUAAUAAUAUAGCAAAUGAAUGACCUAGAUAAAUUAAAGACAUAGAGUUAUGUGUAUUCAAUUUCUGUAAAUGCUUUAUCUUCCGAUUCUUAAUGCGAAAAGUAAAAUAUCUCUUUGUAGUAAUAAACAUAUGGAGAAUUGAAAAAGUUGCUUGGUAUAUUCAAUGCGGAGUAAUUCAUUUGAUCAAUUCAAUACAAUAUAUUCAUUUACUAAAAUGUUAUAUAUUGUGUAUAUAUAGUGAAAAAUCACAAGACAAUUAUUUCAAUUCAUCAAAUUAUUAGAUUAUCAAUCCUACUUUGUGUAGCGACAUUUUUUCAUAUUCAUUUUGUGUUUGUGUCUCUCUUUUCUACUUCUGCUUAUGUACUCUAUUUUUUCUAUUCAUAUUAUAAGUUAUUGUCUUUAAUUUGACUUAUUCAUAUAUGUUUUCUGAUUAGUUGAAAGUUCAUUUUACUUGGGUAUGCAAACAUUUGUAUCAUAGUUAUUUCACCUCUUGCAACAUAGAAAUUUAUCAUAGAAAUAUCAAAUCAGAUAAGAUUACUUUUUUUUUAAGUAUCUCCUUGGAGUAUCAUGAAACUAUAUGUUCUUGUUUAUGUAAUUUUGGUUAGGAAUCAAUUUACAUAAUUUAACUUAUAUUUUUUUUGUUUAAUUUACAUAAGAUAGAACUAAUAAUUUUGAAUUAGGCAAGGGGUACACGACCUAUAACAAUUAUGAUUUAUAUACAUCGAUUAGAUAUUUGAGCAAUUAUUAUUUUUAUCACUAAUAAUAACUAUUUUUUUUGUAGGUGUACACCAAAAAAUUGACAAUGAUCCACUAGCUAUCAUAAGAAAUGUAUGUGUUGAUCGAAUUUAUAUGCACUUUUUACAAAACACAAAUCACAUUCGAUAACAAUUUCUUGACCUGUAUGUGAUUGUAAUAAGGUGGAGGCUACAAUUUCUAGAAAGAAGGCAAAAAUUUUAGAACAUGAAAUAUUUUGAACCAAUAAGAGAUACUUAAAUUA
rnacentral:lncRNA from 1 species